CAACCAUCAGCACACAGUCAGUGAUAACAGAUCACAUCUCAUCAAUGGAUUUUACAGUGGUGAGGUAUCCGGGGUCAGGGGUCACGACCCCAGUGGUGGAGACUCUCCUGUGUAUACUGACUCAAUAUGGCCCAUUUCCCCAGACCAAGACUUCGUCUGGACUGAGCAUGCUCAAACAGGACUAGGCCUGAUCUGGCUCCAGGAAACUGGAGAGAGAUAACAUCAAGGUUCAGUAUUAUAGAGGUUCAGGAAACUGGCCUGUAGAGAGGUAACAUUAAGGUUCAGUAUUAUAGAGGUUCAGGAAACUGGCCUGUAGAGAGGUAACAUUAAGGUUCAGUAUUAUAGAGGAACAGGAAACUGGCCUGUAGAGAGGUAACAUUAAGGUUCAGGAAACUGGCCUGUAGAGAGGUAACAUUAAGGUUCAGUAUUAUAGAGGUUCAGGAAACUGGCCUGUAGAGAGGUAACAUUAAGGUUCAGUAUUAUAGAGGAACAGGAAACUGGCCUGUAGAGAGGUAACAUUAAGGUUCAGGAAACUGGCCUGUAGAGAGGUAACAUUAAGGUUCAGUAUUAUAGAGGUUCAGGAAACUGGCCUGUAGAGAGGUAACAUCAAGGUUCAGGAAACUGGCCUGUAGAGAGGUAACAUUAAGGUUCAGUAUUAUUGAGGAACAGGAAACUGGCCUGUAGAGAGGUAACAUUAAGGUUCAGUAUUAUAGAGGUUCAGGAAACUGGCCUGUAGAGAGGUAACAUCAAGGUUCAGGAAACUGGCCUGUAGAGAGGUAACAUUAAGGUUCAGGAAACUGGCCUGUAGAGAGGUAACAUUAAGGUUCAGUAUUAUAGAGGUUCAGGAAACUGGCCUGUAGAGAGGUAACAUUAAGGUUCAGUAUUAUAGAGGUUCAGGAAACUGGCCUGUAGAGAGGUAACAUUAAGGUUCAGUAUUAUAGAGGUUCAGGAAACUGGCCUGUAGAGAGGUAACAUUAAGGUUCAGUAUUAUAGAGGUUCAGGAAACUGGCCUGUAGAGAGGUAACAUUAAGGUUCAGGAAACUGGCCUGUAGAGAGGUAACAUUAAGGUUCAGUAUUAUAGAGGUUCAGGAAACUGGCCUGUAGAGAGGUAACAUUAAGGUUCAGUAUUAUAGAGGAACAGGAAACUGGCCUGUAGAGAGGUAACAUUAAGGUUCAGUAUUAUAGAGGUUCAGGAAACUGGCCUGUAGAGAGGUAACAUUAAGGUUCAGUAUUAUAGAGGUUCAGGAAACUGGCCUGUAGAGAGGUAGCAUCAAGGUUCAGUAUUAUAGAGGAACAGGAAACUGGCCUGUAGAGAGGUAACAUUAAGGUUCAGUAUUAUAGAGGUUCAGGAAACUGGCCUGUAGAGAGGUAACAUUAAGGUUCAGGAAACUGGCCUGUAGAGAGGUAACAUCAAGGUUCAGUAUUAUAGAGGUUCAGGAAACUGGCCUGUAGAGAGGUAACAUUAAGGUUCAGUAUUAUAGAGGUUCAGGAAACUGGCCUGUAGAGAGGUAACAUCAAGGUUCAGGAAACUGGCCUGUAGAGAGGUAACAUUAAGGUUCAGUAUUAUAGAGGUUCAGGAAACUGGCCUGUAGAGAGGUAGCAUCAAGGUUCAGGAAACUGGCCUGUAGAGAGGUAACAUUAAGGUUCAGUAUUAUAGAGGUUCAGGAAACUGGCCUGUAGAGAGGUAACAUUAAGGUUCAGUAUUAUAGAGGUUCAGGAAACUGGCCUGUAGAGAGGUAACAUUAAGGUUCAGGAAACUGGCCUGUAGAGAGGUAACAUUAAGGUUCAGUAUUAUAGAGGUUCAGGAAACUGGCCUGUAGAGGGGUAACAUUAAGGUCAGGAAACUGGCCUGUAGAGAGGUAGCAUUAAGGUUCAGUAUUAUAGAGGUUCAGGAAACUGGCCUGUAGAGAGGUAACAUUAAGGUUCAGGAAACUGGCCUGUAGAGAGGUAACAUUAAGGUUCAGUAUUAUAGAGGUUCAGGAAACUGGCCUGUAGAGAGGUAAC